UGGGGAAUUUUGGACAAUGGGGGAAACCCUGAUCCAGCCAUCCCGCGUGUGCGAUGAAGGCCUUCGGGUUGUAAAGCACUUUUGGCAGGAAAGAAACGUCGCGGGUUAAUACCCCGCGAAACUGACGGUACCUGCAGAACAAGCACCGGCUAACUACGUGCCAGCAGCCGCGGUAAUACGUAGGGUGCAAGCGUUAAUCGGAAUUACUGGGCGUAAAGCGUGCGCAGGCGGUUCGGAAAGAAAGAUGUGAAAUCCCAGAGCUUAACUUUGGAACUGCAUUUUUAACUACCGGGCUAGAGUGUGUCAGAGGGAGGUGGAAUUCCGCGUGUAGCAGUGAAAUGCGUAGAUAUGCGGAGGAACACCGAUGGCGAAGGCAGCCUCCUGGGAUAACACUGACGCUCAUGCACGAAAGCGUGGGGAGCAAACAGGAUUAGAUACCCUGGUAGUCCACGCCCUAAACGAUGUCAACUAGCUGUUGGGGCCUUCGGGCCUUGGUAGCGCAGCUAACGCGUGAAGUUGACCGCCUGGGGAGUACGGUCGCAAGAUUAAAACUCAAAGGAA
rnacentral:rRNA from 1 species